UCGAGAGGAGAUGAAGAGAGAAGAUGCUGGGGAGAACCGGUCGUAGCAUACGAUCUGGUGGGAGACCUGUUUGUCUGAGAUGGAUUGCGAGUGAUGUUCAGAAUGUGGUAUGAGCUUUCACGUUGACCAAGGUUCCAGCGCGUGAGUGACAGAGAAGUUCAAGUGGGCCAGUGCUAAAGUGAAAGACUUGAGGCUUUGGCUCAAGAGGUUUCAGUGAGAAGAGGCAGAGACUAGUAAGGUUCUGAUGAACACACAGUAUACACAGGACUUUGAUAAUAAGCCUGAUUCGAAUUCUGAUUCAGAGUCACACUACAGUCUUCUACCAUUGAUAUCUUAUGCAGACAAAGUAUCAGAUAUAAGAGAUUCUGCAGAUGCUGGAAAUCCAGAACAAACCACACAAGUGUUGGAGGAACUCUGCAGGACAGGCAGCAUGAAUGGAGGGGAAUAAACAGUUGACGUUUCUGGCUGAGACUGUUGCAGGAGUCUAUGGCAAACAAAGAACUAAAUGCAGCUCAUUCGACAAUGACUUUUCAUUUCAGUCACUGCAUCAGCAUUUUACUUCUCAGACUCUUGACCAAUUAGAUCAAGUGGGCACAAUGACCACACACAAGUUAUUUUCAACCCCUUCAUUUAAAGGCUGAUAGAAAGCAUGGCAUUUGGUGCAUACUGGAAUUAGGAAGAGAAGCAAAGGCGGUGUUAGGAUGGAACUUAGACUCAUAAAGGCUAUGCUACAUUACUGUGUUGCCUCACUGAAUGCCAUGUUGGGGAAAGGUGGCUUCCACUGUCACCAAGAAGACUUUAUUAAAGUUUGCCAUUGGGGACAGUCACAGAGACACUGAUUAUACUGCUGGUGUUUAAUUAGUAAAGCAGGGAAGGUGUACCUCGCGAUGUAUUUGCCCCAGUGGGUAUAUAACAUUUAUCCCUUCACCCUUCCUUUCAAAAAAUACUCAAACAUAUCAAUCCUCACACCAUUUGGAGCAAAAUAACUACAGAAGCUAGAAAUCCAAAACCAAAACUAUUAUGGCCGGAAGCAUUUAGCGGCUCAAGCAGCAUUGAGAGGAAGAGAAGAAGAAUCGAGGUUUCAAGUCAGGAACACUUGGCUGGAAUGUGUGUCCUUCAGGUAUAGGGGUCUCACUGUGACAGUGCACCUCAACACUGGAUAUUAUAUUUUUUUGUACUGCUCCCAGUCAUUACUAGUUGGGGUUUUAUAUUUGUACUCAAGCAAGAACAUUGUGCUCCAACCCUUUGGGUGAUGAAUACUACAGUUUGCUCCAGGGGCAGCUAUAAUCUCUGAUAUGUACUGUGGUGCAAAGUCCUUCAAUGCUCAUUAUUCAAGCUGCCAGCACUUUGACAAGCAGUCAGUCACAACCUUUAUGUAUUUGUGAUGGCCAACUUGAAACUCAGAUGAUCUCCUCUAGUGAUCACAUGGCAGAUAAGCUGACAGUCAUGGUAAAUUUUACAGGUGUUGGUGAAGUAAGGACACCUGUGGGUCCUGAUCUUAUAGAGAGAAAAUACCUGCCAUCGCCUGAUGUAGGACCCAGACCUUCCUGAGAUGGGACUCGACUGUGGCAAGAAAACUUAUCUGCUGAUUGCAUAUCCUGUGUUCUAACAGCUGCCAUUGUAAUCUUCAUCCAUCUACUGAUUUCCUCCCUGGUGGGGAUUUAGAUCUGCUAGGAGAGAGGUUUGAUUUUCCAGCAUGCCUGCUCAACUAGUUAAACCUAAAAGUCUACACAUCAUAUUAUACAAAUGAUCCAUUAACAAAAAAAAAUUGACAUUCUGCUAGCUUUAUUAGGUUGCCACAGACUGUCAAGCAGUCAUUUUGUCUUUCAACGUCCACUGUUCUCAAAUCCAUAAGUACAUCAGGUAAAAGAGGAGAUUCUGAAUCAUCGAACAGAGUAGUUUUUUUUUAUCUUUGGUUAAUUUAUGUUAGGGUUGUUAAAUAAAU